UUGCACAGUACUUACUGAAGGAAAGAAUUUCCAGAUUCUGGUGGAAUAAUAAAGAUACCUCCCCCAAUAUGGAGGGACAAGAUUGUUUCAGGUCAAGUGGUGUUAAAAUUCAAGAAUUGUCAUAAUUGCCUAUGAAUAUACCUAACCUAUAUGUGUGUAUAUAUAUAUAUAUUUGUAGAGAAAUCCUGCCUGUUGUGGUACUACUGUAACAGCAAAAAGUGGCAAAAUCCAACUUCCCCAACACUUGGAGCCGACCUCAAAGGGUCUCCAUUCUUCCUGUUCAUGAAUCUGGAAGUGGGCUGGAAAGACACUGCCCAAGUUGACCUCUUUAAGGGAGGCUUUUGGUCGGUAAGGCAAUCGGUAGAAACAUACAAGGUGAUAUAAGAAACUGCGACAGGAAGUUACUAGAUGAAAUUUCUCACAAUAGUCAUGGACUUCGAGUGCAUGAUCUUGUCGGGGACACUGUAGAUGCCCACCCCACGACGCCAGGGCACAGUCCUGGUGUUGGCCAUGGUGAUGGACCAUCGAGCAUUAGGCCAGAAGCCUGAAUUCCCGAAUUUAGGCUACUGUUAGUUAGUUCUAUAGAUGCAUAUUCAUUUAAUAAUUGUGUGAUUUAUGAUCAUUGUAUGCAUUACAUUUGUACUGAAAAAAUUGUAGUUUGUAUGAAUUAUGAUACGUAAUGUUUGUU